GUGCUGGGGAGGGGAAGCGAAGGGGCGGGACCUGGCCGCGGGCUGCCCGCAGAGCUUCCCUCGCUCCUUCCCGGGGGCUGUCAGCGCGGGCUCCGCCCCCUCGUCCUUCCAAUCGCUCUCGGCCCCGCCUCCCCCGCCCUCCCGUUCUCCGCCCACUUCAGCUGUCGCUGCGCAGCGGCAGUUCUGUUCCGUCUCGCCUUCCUGCUGCGGUCUUCUGCCGCUUACUGUCCAACUUUGGAGUUUUCUUGCCUUUUUUUCUCUCAGAGUUGAGCCCCUGCCCGGCCCUUUAGUCCCUCGGUCACGAGGAACGGUGGAGUUUAGAACCUGCGAUGGAACUCACCAGAGACCAGAUAGCUAGAGAAUGGCUGAACUGGGUUUUAAAUCUAGUCAAUCUUGACCCCAGAGCUCUCCAGCCUAAAGGUUGCCUCAUUAUUCAAAAUGGCUGCCAAGACUCUAAGCAUCAUACAUCCCAUUUCACUCAACAGAAAGGAAAAAGCACCCUUCUAUCAUAGAGGUCAUCAUCCACAUUCCACAGAUGAGAAAAGAAAGCUUGGAGAAGGAGGCUCCAGGCUGCACACCUAUUGCUGAGGAGAGCUGAAAUUCCAACCAUGUUUCUCCAGCUCCAAAGUCUGUGCCUCUACCACUUGAUAUAAAAGACCAUGUGAUCACAUCACUAGCUACAAACAGCUCUAACUAAAUGGUCCCAGUACUUAAGGAAUACCUUUGAGAAGGAUGGACGAAUAUGAAGAAACUAAGGAGCAAAGGAAUCAAGGAUUUCUUCCAGUCCACCUGGGAAGUUAGCUGCAUAGUUAGAAAUAGAACUUUAGACUCCUGGCCUGUUUUCCAAACCACAGAUAUGCUUGGUUUAUGCAGGUAAGGUUUUAGUUUGGGGUGUUGUUUUUAAACAAAUGCCCUGAAACUAUGCUAGGGGCAGGCAAAGUUUGUGGGUAUUAGAGACCAAAUGACCGUGAAAUCAUAGCAUCAGUAUGUGCGGUGUUUUAGGAAUGUCAAUGUGGCUCAAAAAGAAUUUCUGUGAAAAAUAUGGACUCUCAACUCUCCUCUCCAAGGCAUCUUUAGUUAAUAACCAGUUAGGAGACUGAGCCCCAAAACUGUCUCUUACCCAUUCCAAUGUAUAUGAAAGGCUAGAUGCUAUGAAUGUGGUGAUAACAUCUGCCAGAAACCUCUAUCAUUCAUUUUAUCCUUGUGACUUCUCUGGUAACUCAACAUCUUAAAGGAUGAAAUUUUCUUUUUAUUGCAAAGUUUCAGAGUCACUUCAGACUUCAGUGAGAUCAUAGCAUGCGUUUCUCUUGGACUAGGACCAGGCAAACAGUCUCACUGCGUCACAGUCAGGGCAGGGACUCCCUCCAUCCCCAGGCCAGCCUUAUUAUGUACAAAUGUGCUACCUUUUCACCUAAAGUAUAAAUAAAGUAAAGGUUUAUUCUUGUUCCAGUUUCAAUUUGACCAAGCUUCCACCAGAGCCAUACACCUGUUACUGCAUUUGUUUACUAUGCUGUAGAACUUUCUGCAGAAUAUAACCCUUGCUCAUUCCUCAUAUUGUACA